rnacentral:rRNA from 1 species
GAUGAACGCUAGCGGCGGGCCUAAUACAUGCAAGUCGAACGGGAAAGGUGGCACCACCUUGCGAGUGGCUUACGGGUGCGUAACGCGUAUACAACCUGCCUGUUACCCGGGGAUAGCCUUGCGAAAGCGAGAUUAAUACCCUAUGGUACUAUUGAGCGGCAUCGCUUGGUAGUUAAAGCUGAGGCGGUAACAGCGGGGUAUGCGUCCCAUUAGCUAGUUGGUAGUGUAACGGACUACCAAGGCGACGAUGGGUAGGGGUUCUGAGAGGAUGAUCCCCCACACUGGUACUGAGAUACGGACCAGACUCCUACGGGAGGCAGCAGUAGGGAAUAUUGGGCAAUGGACGGAAGUCUGACCCAGCCACGCCGCGUGCAGGAAGAAGGUCCUCUGGAUUGGAAACUGCUUUUCUUGGGGAAGAAAACCCUUCUGCGGAAGGAAUUGACGGUACUCAAGGAAUAAGCAUCGGCUAACUCCGUG